AAUGAGAGGGAACAACUUCAGCUCAGUUGAUGAAAUACUGUGCGGGUCAGAAACACACUUCUUACAUUUACAGCUAAAAACGAAUAAUAUAUUUGCACUCUAUAUUAAGCCUUAGCAAAGUCCUUCCACCAAAUAGUGUCACACAAACAGAAUAACUAGAAAAUUGCUAGUCCUACACAUUGAGGUGUGCUACAAGGUAACUGGUAACUCUGUAAACAGGAGUAGGUGGAUCACCGGUCACUGAGCUGGCAAGCUAAAGUUAGCUAGUUAGUCACAUACAUGUACGUUCAGCAUAAUGAUUAUUUAUCUUAAGAAGUCAGCAUGGCUUAACAUAGUUUAUUUCGUUUUUGACCUCGACAUUGUUGCUGGAUAGAUACUUUCAUACCUAAUAUGCUGGCGCUGCUAGCUAGCUAAUGCUAACGGCGCUAGCUAACCUCAUAUCUGGAUGACUCACUCUAGUUCCCGAGAGAGCAGCAUACUGGCCCUCCAUUCCCAAACCUGAAGCCCCCUGUCCCCAGCAGGAAAGACCAGGAAAAAGUGCUAGCUUAAGCUGGGCCAGGCCUGGAGUGGGUGACUUGUAAUCCGUCUUUCCACCAAGCUAGGCCUGGAGUGGGUGACAGGUAACCCUCUUUCCACCAAGCUGGGCCAGGCCUGGAGUGGCACGCUGGAACUUCCAGAGGCUUGUAGACCUGAAGCAGUGUGAUGUGGUGCAGAUCUGACACCCCUAUUAGCUCAACCACAGUCUUCACAGCUGCAGUCGUCUGCCCCUGCAUCUGCUACACCGGCCACGACAGGUGAUACAGAUCUGCCACCCCCAGCAGUUCAUCUGCAGUCACAGCAGUCCUCUGCUUAAUUUACCAGCUGCACCAGGUCCUACUACACUGGCCGUUAAGGAAGAAACUAUUUUUACGAUACCCAGAUGAAUACAGAUCUGCCAUGUACUCCUCCACUGCCUGACAGCCUCACCCAGAAGUGCAUACACAGGGCCUAGCAAGACUGACAAAGCAGAGAUGGGUGGCUGACAAGGAAAAAUAAAACAUGCACUCAAAUACAUUAUACACAAUGUAAAUGAGUUGUAAUUACUUGUUCAUUUAAUGUUUGGUCCAUUUUAUUUUAGGAUUGGAUAGAUCUACUCCUUCAUAACCAUUGUCAAUAUCUACAUAAUUACUCUAAAUAUCUAUCAAAUCAAAGUGUGAUUGAUAAAUUUGUAAAGGCUAUGGCUUAAUGUUUACAGUUUGGGGAAUUCUGUGUGCUUUUUUCUGAGUUGAAAAACAUGUCUCCCUCUCACACACACAUUAGACCCAAUGUAAAUCAAUUGUAAUAACUUGUUUAUUUUAUGUAUGCUACAUUUUAUUUGAGGAAAAUAUCUGCAAUAAACUACAUUCAGUUAAAUCAAA